rnacentral:rRNA from 1 species
UACGUAGGAUGCAAGCGUUGUCCGGAUUUACUGGGCGUAAAGCGCGCGCAGGCGGCAGUACAAGUACCCUCUGAAAUCUCCUUGCUCAACGAGGAGGGUGGAGGGUAGACUGUGCAGCUAGAGGAGGGUAGAGGGGGGGUAGAAUUGCUGGUGUAGAGGUGAAAUUCGUAGAUAUGGGGAGGAACACCAGUGGCGAAGGCGGCCACCUGGAUGGUGACUGACGCUGAGACGCGAAAGCGUGGGGAGCAAACAGG